ACAGCAGCAGCCACGGUAAUACGAAGGGUGCAAGCGUUACUCGGAAUUACUGGGCGUAAAGCGUGCGUAGGUGGUGGUUUAAGUCCGUUGUGAAAGCCCUGGGCUCAACCUGGGAAUUGCAGUGGAUACUGGGUCACUAGAGUGUGGUAGAGGAUAGUGGAAUUUCCGGUGUAGCAGUGAAAUGCGUAGAGAUCGGAAGGAACAUCUGUGGCGAAGGCGACUAUCUGGGCCAACACUGACACUGAGGCACGAAAGCGUGGGGAGCAAACAGGAUUAGAUACCCGCGUAGUCCCUGUCUCUUAUAC
rnacentral:rRNA from 1 species